GCCGGAUCCGUGUGUGCAGGGGGAGUCGCGUGCUGCAAGUUAAGAGUCCCAGCACCUCUGUCGAUGCGGAGGUCACGGCCGCCACCGCCGACCCCGACGAGGGCACCAGCGCGAGCGGGCCGCCGGCGAUGGACAUUGAGGAGAGCUGGCUCGUUAUCGACGAUGCAGUCGACCACCUGCUGCACCGCGCUGGCGAGCACGGAGCUGUGUUUCAGCCAUCCCCAGUACCCAUGGCCGCAAGUUCGAGCUGGCAUGCUCUACGUGGAGAAUGAGACGGUUGUCGAGUUCAAAGAGCUAACCUCGGCGGUCGACUUAAGUGACCAGCUGCCGGGACAGAGACUGACCAGCAGAGUUCUGUUGAUGCCUCAUACUUUUCUCUGUUUGUUUCUGUUUUCUGUUCCUCAAGUUUUUGUCAUUAUAACUAGUUGCAGUUGAAUUAGCUUGUUGCAGUUCGUUUAUAUUUUGCUGCAGGGUGUCCCUUAAGUCUUAACCGUAGAGACGUGAAACGUUGGACGCUAAUGAAUGAGAUACAAUACAAGGCACUUUGAUGUAAAGCACAGGCAGAGCUUUGGAGUCGGAAAUGUAUCAGUUAACCAAACCAUUGAAACUGUGUUUGCGUAUGACUAUUGAAACUGCGUCUUUCACAUGCUGGUUGCACGACCUUUCUAUAGAAUAAGAAAUAACAUAAUCGCACAUAAGACUGUGAAAUAGAAAGCUGCUUGGUAUAAUAGGUCCGUGUCCUCCUUAUGAUGGGUUCCUAUAGCUGGUCUGGUCUUGCAAACAGCUAUAAUCAUUGAGCGUUACCGUCCACAAUAGGUUGUCCAGCUUGCUUGUUCGUAUGUGCAUGAAAUACAGAUUUAACUUUGCUGUUCUCUUGACUUGUCAUUCGUUCUAAACAGUACAAAAUGAGCGCAGGGUUAUUAUUUUGUCAAUUUUAUGUCGCCCAUGGCAUGACAAUAGGUAUCCACGCACUUGUCGUUUUACAAAUCAUUCGAUAUCUUGUUGAUUGUUCCUAUAAAACGACCACGUUUCUGUGUUCGGUGUCAUCGCUCGGUGUUAGUAUUGCGGAUAGUGUAACUAUGGUCUUGUUGGAUGUUCUUCCUCGUCUUGCAUGCUAUUUUGCACACGAAAUAACACGCAAGAUGGGAAUGAAAAUCUGAUAAGUCGCGUUAU